CGGGGUAUAGUUCAGAUGGCUAGAACACACGGUUCGGGACCGUGAGGUCGUCGGUUCAAGUCCGACUACCCCGA
rfam:Candidatus Roizmanbacteria bacterium RIFCSPHIGHO2_01_FTLL_39_8 rifcsphigho2_01_scaffold_5035, whole genome shotgun sequence.